GACGAACGCUGGCGGCGUGCUUAACACAUGCAAGUCGAACGGAAAGGCCCUGCUUUUGUGGGGUGCUCGAGUGGCGAACGGGUGCGUAACACGUGAGUAACCUGCCCUUGACUUUGGGAUAACUUCAGGAAACGGGGGCUAAUACCGGAUAGGAGCUCCUGCUGCAUGGUGGGGGUUGGAAAGUUUCGGCGGGUGGGGAUGGACUCGCGGCUUAUCAGCUUGUUGGUGGGGUAGUGGCUUACCAAGGCUUUGACGGGUAGCCGGCCUGAGAGGGUGACCGGCCACAUUGGUCCUGAGAUACGGCCCAGACUCCUACGGGAGGCAGCAGUGGGGAAUAUUGCACAAUGGGCGGAAGCCUGAUGCAGCAACGCCGCGUGCGGGAUGACGUCCUUCGGGUUGAAAACCGCUUUCGCCUGUGACGAAGCGUGAGUGACGGUAAUGGGUAAAGAAGCACCGGCUAACUACGUG
rnacentral:rRNA from 1 species